GACGAACGCUGGCGGCGUGCUUAACACAUGCAAGUCGAACGGAAAGGCCCCUUUGGGGGUACUCGAGUGGCGAACGGGCGAGUAACACGUGAGUAACCUGCCCUUGACUUCGGGAUAACUUCAGGAAACUGGGGCUAAUACCGGAUAGGAAUCCUUGCUGCAUGGUGGGGGUGGGAAAGCUUCCGCGGUUUGGGGUGGACUCGCGGCUUAUCAGCUUGUUGGUGGGGUAGUGGCUUACCAAGGCUUUGACUGGUAGCCGGCCUGAGAGGGCGAACGGCCACAUUGGGACUGGGAUACGGCCCAGACUCCUACGGGAGGCAGCAGUGGGGAAUAUUGCACAAUGGGCGGGAGCCUGAUGCAGCAACGCCGCGUGCGGGAUGACGGCCUUCGGGUUGUAAACCGCUUUCAGCAGGGGAGAAGCUUGUGGUGACGGUACCUGCAGAAGAAGCACCGGCUAACUACGUG
rnacentral:rRNA from 1 species